rnacentral:rRNA from 1 species
GACGAACGCUGGCGGCGUGCCUAAUACAUGCAGGUUGAGCGCUGAAGGUUGGUACUUGUACCGACUGGAUGAGCAGCGAACGGGUGAGUAACGCGUGGGGAAUCUGCCUUUGAGCGGGGGACAACAUUUGGAAACGAAUGCUAAUACCGCAUAAAAACUUUAAACACAAGUUUUAAGUUUGAAAGAUGCAAUUGCAUCACUCAAAGAUGAUCCCGCGUUGUAUUAGCUAGUUGGUGAGGUAAAGGCUCACCAAGGCGAUGAUACAUAGCCGACCUGAGAGGGUGAUCGGCCACAUUGGGACUGAGACACGGCCCAAACUCCUACGGGAGGCAGCAGUAGGGAAUCUUCGGCAAUGGACGAAAGUCUGACCGAGCAACGCCGCGUGAGUGAAGAAGGGUUUCGGAUCGUAAAACUCUGCUGGUAGAGAAGAACGUUGGUGAGAGUGGAAAGCUCAUCAAGUGACGGUAACUACCCAGAAAGGGACGGCUAACUACGUG